AACGAACGCUGGCGGCAUGCCUAACACAUGCAAGUCGAACGAGACCUUCGGGACUAGUGGCGCACGGGUGCGUAACGCGUGGGAACCUGCCCUUAGGUUCGGAAUAACUCCCCGAAAGGGGUGCUAAUACCGGAUAAUGUCUUCGGACCAAAGAUUUAUCGCCUUUGGAUGGGCCCGCGUUGGAUUAGCUAGUUGGUAGGGUAAAAGCCUACCAAGGCGACGAUCCAUAGCUGGUCUGAGAGGAUGGUCAGCCACACUGAGACUGAGACACGGCCCAGACUCCUACGGGAGGGAGCAGUGGGGAAUAUUGGACAACGGGCGAAAGCCUGAUCCAGCAUUGCCGCGUGAGUGAUGAAGGCCUUAGGGUUGUAAAGCUCUUUUACCCGGGAUGAUAAUGACAGUACCGGGAGAAUAAGCUCCGGCUAACUCCGUG
rnacentral:rRNA from 1 species